CAGACCAUGAAGUGGUGGUUUCUCUCAGCCUAAGGCUGGGAGAUGGAAGCAUCCCAGUAUUGCUGGCAGCAUCUCAGGGAGAGCUGGGAGAAAUGAGCUUGUCUGAGAGCCAUGGGCGCGGCUUGGUGAUACUUUUGACCAGUGGAAUGCUGUGCCUUCAGGGUUCUCGGGCUGCCACGCCGAUGGCGAGAGCGGCAGCCCGUCCAGCAGCAGCAGCGGCUCUCUGGCCCUGGGCAGCGCUGCUAUUCGUGGCCAGGCCGAGGUCACCCAGGACCCUGCCCCGCUCCUGAGAGGCUUCCGGAAGCCAGCCACAGGUCAAAUGAAGCGCAACAGAGGGGAAGAAAUAGAUUUUGAGACACCUGGGUCCAUUCUUGUCAACACCAACCUCCGUGCCCUGAUCAACUCUCGGACCUUCCAUGCCUUACCAUCACACUUCCAGCAGCAGCUCCUCUUCCUCCUGCCUGAAGUAGACAGACAGGAUUUUUUUCCCCCUUGAUCCUUCUAGGUGGGGACGGAUGGCCUGUUGCGUCUCAGCAGCAGUGCACUAAAU
rnacentral:lncRNA from 1 species